UUCAUUUUGCAUUGUCCUUUGUUUUGGCCUUUGAUCAUACCACAAACUAGAUCAUGGAAUUGUCAUUUUCAGUGUAAAACUCUCUAUGUGGCUUGCUUGUUUUGAACAAGUAUGUAGCGCCAUGCUGAACAAGGCUUUUCACCACAUAUUAGUAGGUUACAAGUCGUUCUGAACUUUCAGUUCAGCUGGUGUAGCAUUUCACUGCUGCACCACUGAUUCUUCAGGAUCUAUCACAAUUCUCAACUGAAACAAGUGGCAAGUUAUCUGAAGUCCUCUAGCUGCUGUGACCUGAUGGUUGUCAGUGGCCAAGUGGAGCUAGCAGGAUGCCACUAUGAGGCAAAGUGGCAAACAGAAUAGACUGGGUGAGUUGGGAUGAGUUGCUGAACCCAAAGAACAUGGGUGGGUGACCUGUGCGUCAAAGACCUUGAUAGAUUCAGCGUCAUGAUGGUAGAAUCGGUUUGUCGCCCUUGAGUUCUCAUGGACAGUUACUGCUGGAAUUCUAGUGUUCAGCAAGCUGAAGCAAAGUAAGGAAUUUCAUUGCCUGAAGAAGCAUCCUGCAUGAAUCUGGUAGAUGCGCGACCACCAAAAGGCUCCCAACGCAAUGGUGGAUCAGAUGGGGCUAACAGUGGUGCCAUCGGCAUAUGAUACGUGCAGGGGAAAAUGAGCAGGGAUUUUGAUAAACAAAGAGAAGUGAAUUUGAGUGGAGGGGUGAGACCUGGAACACUGGAGGCCGGAGGGGGUCGAAGCAGAUGGUGCAGUCGAGAACAUCCGGGUCGAUGAUGCCGGUGAUGCCCGCCGCCGCCAUCCCGCUCAUCUGCUCCGGCAGCUGCUGUCGCCGCCGAUGGUGAUCCCCUUUCCUCCUCUUCUUGCCGCCGCUGCUGCAGCUCUCCUCCAUUGACUGCAUGACUGUUAGUGUUAGGCCCGUGGAUUGAUCCAUACUCGUUCAAAAGUCACGCACUGCAGUGAGUGCAGGAUCUACUAGCCGUUGUGUUUAUUGACGUGAUGUGACGACGCAGCGUGGUGCUAGGCUACGAGCUACCUAGCUAACUAGCCGUUUUUCGUUUUUCAAAUCCGUCUUCGACCCUGGAAUUAUGGUGGAUACUA